AGGUGGCCGAAUCUCUAAGCACUAGACUUUUAAUCUAGCUAUGGUAACUACAUUUUACCCCU
rnacentral:tRNA from 1 species